AGCCCCUCAUUUGCAUGUGUCCCUUUCAAGACCUUGUGCCUAACUUUAUACUCAUAAUGUUCUAUCCUUUUUCUUAAAGAGGGUCCAGAAUCAUCUAAGCUUCAAACCCCACAAGCCUGGGUCUGUUCCGAGGUGGGUGCUCAGAUGGCAGGAAACAGCUGACACAUCAGCAGGCCGGGAGAUGUGGAAGGAAGAGAUGGCAAACUACCAGCAAGGCACCAACAAAGCCUGGGCAAGUUCAACGUGAGUCUCCAGUGGUGGGGAUGUGUUUCAUUAUCCUCCUGGUGCCCUCUGAUAAGGCUUAGACUGUUUCGUGCUCCUUUUCUUUUCUUGAUCAAGACAGAAGACAGCGGACAGUUGGGAUGGAAAGAAAACUGGGACAGAUACUGCCUGUGCUGCCUCUUCCCCUUUCUUCCUGCCUUGAAUGUUGGCAUGAUGUCCAGAGCAGAAACCCGGAUAGUGUUGUGACUCUCAACCAAUGUCAGCAGCCUGUAGUUCCAGAAUCUUUACUGGAGAGGAAAAACUCCACUAUUAGUUGAGUUUUCUUGCAGCCCAAACAUUUGUAACAGAGAAGCCGUCCUGACUCUUGCCUUUAUCUUGAGUGAUUACUAUCUACACAUGGAUUUUC
rnacentral:lncRNA from 1 species